UAGGGAAUCUUCGGCAAUGGACGAAAGUCUGACCGAGCAACGCCGCGUGAGUGAAGAAGGUUUUCGGAUCGUAAAACUCUGUUGUUAGAGAAGAACAAGGACGUUAGUAACUGAACGUCCCCUGACGGUAUCUAACCAGAAAGCCACGGCUAACUACGUGCCAGCAGCCGCGGUAAUACGUAGGUGGCAAGCGUUGUCCGGAUUUAUUGGGCGUAAAGCGAGCGCAGGCGGUCUCUUAAGUCUGAUGUGAAAGCCCCCGGCUCAACCGGGGAGGGUCAUUGGAAACUGGGAGACUUGAGUGCAGAAGAGGAGAGUGGAAUUCCAUGUGUAGCGGUGAAAUGCGUAGAUAUAUGGAGGAACACCAGUGGCGAAGGCGGCUCUCUGGUCUGUAACUGACGCUGAGGCUCGAAAGCGUGGGGAGCAAACAGG
rnacentral:rRNA from 1 species